rnacentral:rRNA from 1 species
AGUGAACGCUGGCGGUAGGCCUAACACAUGCAAGUCGAACGGCAGCACAGUAAGAGCUUGCUCUUACGGGUGGCGAGUGGCGGACGGGUGAGGAAUACAUCGGAAUCUACUUUUUCGUGGGGGAUAACGUAGGGAAACUUACGCUAAUACCGCAUACGACCUACGGGUGAAAGCAGGGGAUCUUCGGACCUUGCGCGAUUGAAUGAGCCGAUGUCGGAUUAGCUAGUUGGCGGGGUAAAGGCCCACCAAGGCGACGAUCCGUAGCUGGUCUGAGAGGAUGAUCAGCCACACUGGAACUGAGACACGGUCCAGACUACUACGGGAGGCAGCAGUGGGGAAUAUUGGACAAUGGGCGCAAGCCUGAUCCAGCCAUACCGCGUGGGUGAAGAAGGCCUUCGGGUUGUAAAGCCCUUUUGUUGGGAAAGAAAAGCAGCAGGUUAAUACCCCGCUGUUCUGACGGUACCAAAAGAAUAAGCACCGGCUAACUUCGUG